rnacentral:rRNA from 1 species
UACGGAGGGUGCAAACGUUGCUCGGAAUCAUUGGGCGUAAAGCGCACGUAGGUGGCUUGUUAAGUCGGGUGUGAAAUCCCUGGGCUCAACCCAGGAAGUGCACUCGAAACUGGCGAGCUUGAGUACUGAAGAGGGUCGCGGAAUUCCCGGUGUAGAGGUGAAAUUCGUAGAUAUUCGCAAGAACACCAGUGGCGAAGGCGGCUCACUGGCCCGGUACUGACGCUGAGGUGCGAAAGCGUGGGGAGCAAACAGG